GGAUGCAGCUUGAACUUGCUGGUAGUGGCAGUAAUCUAGGGUGUCGGCCAAUGUGUAGAAGAAUGUUGACACGCUAUGGACUUAACCUUCCCAGACGUGGUCCUUGAGGGACAGAGAUUACUUGAUCCGGAUGGCUAGAAUAGUCGAAGAAGACAACGACUUGUGCGACGUCUGUACAACAAUCCCGGUCCAAAUUACGCAUUCCACAUUGACCAGUAUGAUAACCUGCGACAGUAUGGAUUCUGCAUUCAUGGCGCCAUUGACGGCUUUUCUCGACGGUUAUUGUGGCUAAGGGUAGCAAACACUAAUCGAGACCCAGCAGUUGUGGCAUCAUAUUUCAUGGAUUUUCUCGAAGAAAUUCAAGGCACCCCACGUUGCAUUCAAAUGGACAGGGGAACAGAAAAUGUGAUGACUGAAAAUAUCCAAAUCGCCUUGCAUGACAUUUACUCAGAACAGCAGCAUAGUCCUUGUAUCAUACAUUCAGCUUCUCCCCACAACCAGAGAAUAGAACGUUUCUUGCGAACCCUGUUUGAAAUGAUGGUUGGAUUUUGGGUCGAUAAUUUUAAGGACAUGGUACAGACUGGUACUUUGGAUUGCACGUCCGUGCUACACCGGGAAUGCAUUAGAUUUUGCUUCAUGAGAUUGCUGCAGUCCGAACUUGAUGAAAUCAGAGUGGAGUAUAAUCAACACAAAACACGGUUCAUUUCCAAUGCAGUUGCUCUUCCACUGGAAGCCUGAUCUCAUGUAUUAUGUGCCGUAUUUGUUUGGUAUGCAAGAACCUUUAUGUUUUAUAUUUAAAAGCUUCAUAAGCCCAUAUCCAAGCUUGAC